rnacentral:rRNA from 1 species
AGCGAACGCUGGCGGCAGGCUUAACACAUGCAAGUCGAGCGGGCGUAGCAAUACGUCAGCGGCAGACGGGUGAGUAACGCGUGGGAACGUACCUUUUGGUUCGGAACAACACAGGGAAACUUGUGCUAAUACCGGAUAAAGCCCUUACGGGGAAAGAUUUAUCGCCGAAAGAUCGGCCCGCGUCUGAUUAGCUAGUUGGUGAGGUAACGGCUCACCAAGGCGACGAUCAGUAGCUGGUCUGAGAGGAUGAUCAGCCACAUUGGGACUGAGACACGGCCCAAACUCCUACGGGAGGCAGCAGUGGGGAAUAUUGGACAAUGGGGGCAACCCUGAUCCAGCCAUGCCGCGUGAGUGAUGAAGGCCCUAGGGUUGUAAAGCUCUUUUGUGCGGGAAGAUAAUGACGGUACCGCAAGGAUAAGCCCCGGCUAACUUCGUG